AUUGAACGCUGGCGGAAUGCUUUACACAUGCAAGUCGAACGGCAGCACGGACUUCGGUCUGGUGGCGAGUGGCGAACGGGUGAGUAACAUAUCGGAACGUAUCCAAUAAUGGGGGAUAACGAGUCGAAAGAUUCGCUAAUACCGCAUACGCCCUACGGGGGAAAGCUGGGGACCUCCGGGCCUGGCGUUAAUGGAGCGGCCGAUAUCUGAUUAGCUAGUUGGUGAGGUAAAGGCUCACCAAGGCGACGAUCAGUAGCUGGUCUGAGAGGACGACCAGCCACACUGGAACUGAGACACGGUCCAGACUCCUACGGGAGGCAGCAGUGGGGAAUUUUGGACAAUGGGCGCAAGCCUGAUCCAGCCAUUCCGCGUGAGUGAAGAAGGCCUUCGGGUUGUAAACUGCUUUUGUACAGAACGAAAAGGUUUCUACUAAUACUAGGAGCUCAUGACGGUACUGUAAGAAUAAGCACCGGCUAACUACGUGUCAGCAGCAGCCGCAG
rnacentral:rRNA from 1 species